rnacentral:tRNA from 1 species
GCCUCGGUUGCUUAGUGGUCAAAGCGUUAUACUGAAGAUAUAGAAAUGGAAGUUCAAUUCUCCCCCAAGGCA